GCUCCACCCGUCCUCUGCCGGUACCUCAUAGAUGCCGAAGCCAAUGGUGUGCAUGUCCUCGCCCAUCUUCCUCUGCCGCCGCCGGUGCUUCUGGAUAAGACCCACCAGGAAGGUCCCAGGCAUCAGGCUUGGCGCCAAGCAUCGUUACCUACUGGGCCAUCUCACUAGCCUGUGGGGUGUGUUUUCCCCCAGAGGGCCUAACAGCAGAGUGAACGUGAGCUGGAAAAGGAAGGAGGGACCACGGACCGGACCAUGAGCUGAUCCAGAGAGUAAAAGAACGCCUGUGGCUGCCUCGGUGACCAGCAGAGGGCAGCGCGCGCCAGGCAGCUGCCGCCCUGGAGGCCCCACCCCGGACAGCCACGUGCUAGCAGGGGGCGUACCUCCUCGGCUCCGGUGACAGAGUACGCAUGUCCUUUCACCAACUUCUGUGAGUGCACCAGCACCAGCACCAGCACCAGCACCAGCACCAGCACCAGCACCAGCACCUGAGGCUCCCACUGCAGAGGGCUGACAUCCGGGGUGGACCCAGCACAACUUUGGGCCAGCUAGGUGAUACACAGAUAGGAUUAGAACCAGGAAGCCAUUCUUACCAGCCACCUGAUUUAUUCUGGGUGAGUUUCUACAGUUUUUCUACCUCUGCAAUGGGUAGCUUUGCCCACUGGCAGAAGCUUUUGGUCUUUUCAGCUAAGAGGCAAUGGGGGCCCAUCAGAGAAGCAGAGUUCUUUCUCAGGGCCAGAGCAGACAGCCCCAGAAUGUCCCAGUUCACUUGCUCAGAAAGAGCAAUGACUGUCCUGUACCAGUACAUCAUGUGAACAGCCACCAUACCCAUAUUACCUCCUUGAAUUAAGAGCCAAAUUUGGGCCAAAGUCAUCCUUUUAUAGAACAGAAUGUCUAUUCAAAACAGUCCCCGAAAUAGCUCCCGCUGUUUUGGAGUCCAGGGCAGCAGAGGCGAGAUGGGGUGUUGGGGAAGGGCGUGGUCACUUACUUGGCGUAGGCUUUCUCCAGAAGGGCGCUCCAGAACUCACUCCCUUCCGCUGAAUGCACAAAGAGCAGCUCCCCGUCCUUAGUGGGCAGCCUGUCAUCCACCACCACCUCCACCCACUCGCCAUAUUGCCAGAACUGCAGGGCAAGAGGGACAAGAUAGGGUGGCACUGGGACUCUGAGCCUUGACCGCAUCCGGCUCUCCCCAGCCCAGCCCCUUGCUGUGGGUUCCUAUGAUGCUGCUCUUCGGUGUCCUAUGUUAAGUGUGCCCCUCACCAAGCAAGAAGCCAGUGGAGCUCAUCUGUGUCUCCAAAGCCGCAUGCACUUCUUUAAAAAAAUAUCAUCUCUCACUUGCUAUCAUAAAAAGAUUUUUAACCUUUUAUCUCAACCCUCAAAUAAUAAACAUUAAAAAAAAACCCU
rnacentral:lncRNA from 1 species